rnacentral:tRNA from 1 species
GAGGGUAUAGCUCAGUGGUAGAGUGCAUGCCUAGCAUGCAUGGGGUCCCAGGUUCAAUCCCCAGUCCCUCCU